CUGUUCGUAGCUCAGUGGUAGAGCGCCUGGCUCUGGAACCGGGUGGACGCCGGUUCGAGCCCGGUCGAACGGG
rnacentral:tRNA from 1 species